rnacentral:rRNA from 1 species
AUUGAACGCUGGCGGCAGGCCUAACACAUGCAAGUCGAGCGGAUGAAGGGAGCUUGCUCCUGGAUUCAGCGGCGGACGGGUGGGUAAUGCCUAGGAAUCUGCCUGGUAGUGGGGGAUAACGUCCGGAAACGGGCGCUAAUACCGCAUACGUCCUGAGGGAGAAAGUGGGGGAUCUUCGCACCUCACGCUAUCAGAUGAGCCUAGGUCGGAUUAGCUAGUUGGUGGGGUAAAGGCCUACCAAGGCGACGAUCCGUAACUGGUCUGAGAGGAUGAUCAGUCACACUGGAACUGAGACACGGUCCAGACUCCUACGGGAGGCAGCAGUGGGGAAUAUUGGACAAUGGGCGAAAGCCUGAUCCAGCCAUGCCGCGUGUGUGAAGAAGGUCUUCGGAUUGUAAAGCACUUUAAGUUGGGAGGAAGGGCAGUAAGUUAAUACCUUGCUGUUUUGACGUUACCAACAGAAUAAGCACCGGCUAACUUCGUG